rnacentral:rRNA from 1 species
AGAGUUUGAUCAUGGCUCAGGACGAACGCUGGCGGCGUGCCUAACACAUGCAAGUCGAACGAGGUCCAUCCGGUGGCAACACUGGGGAAGACCUAGUGGCGAACGGGUGAGUAACACGUGAGGAACCUGCCCCGAAGACCGGGAUAACCCUCCGAAAGGAGAGCUAAUACCGGAUACCCCCACCGGACCGCAUGAUCUGGUGAGGAAAUGGAUUCCGCUUCGGGAGGGUCUCGCGGCCUAUCAGCUUGUUGGUGGGGUAAUGGCCCACCAAGGCUUCGACGGGUAGCUGGUCUGAGAGGACGAUCAGCCACACUGGGACUGAGACACGGCCCAGACUCCUACGGGAGGCAGCAGUGGGGAAUCUUGCGCAAUGGGCGAAAGCCUGACGCAGCAACGCCGCGUGGGGGAUGAAGGCUCUCGGGUUGUAAACCCCUUUCAGCAGGGACGAAACUGACGGUACCUGCAGAAGAAGCCCCGGCCAACUACGUGCCAGCAGCCGCGGUAACACGUAGGGGGCAAGCGUUGUCCGGAUUUAUUGGGCGUAAAGAGCUCGUAGGCGGCUCUGUAAGUCGGGUGUGAAACCUCCAGGCUCAACCUGGAGACGCCACCCGAUACUGCUGUGGCUUGAGUCCGGUAGGGGAGCGUGGAAUUCCUGGUGUAGCGGUGAAAUGCGCAGAUAUCAGGAGGAACACCAGCGGCGAAGGCGGCGCUCUGGGCCGGAACUGACGCUGAGGAGCGAAAGCGUGGGUAGUAAACAGGAUUAGAUACCCCGGUAGUCC